GGCACCGCCCUCCUCUCUGCCCACUUCCUGCUUUGGCAGACCCUAGUGUUGUGGGCGGACUGGGCCCUCAGUGCCACGCUCCUGGCCCUUCACAGCCUGGAGGCCAUCCUGCAGGUGGUUGCCAUCGCGGCCUUCACCAGGGGCUUCGGAGGAGAGGUCAGGGCUGAGGCCGGGGCUGGGACUGCAGGAGAGAGAGCAGCUGAGGGGCCCACAUUCUGAGCCUCCGUCCACUCCAGUUUUAUCAGCUUUUGCCUUUUGCACUGAGUGCUGAACAAAUUCUAGCUCUGUGUUUUUUUUUCCCAUUCCCAGAUUUACUAUAAGUUCUCCUUAAAAAGUAUCUAAGCUGUUAUAGUAGCUUUCCCUUCACUUGAUUCUAUUGUGUGUUUUCUAUGUUUGGAAUAAUUACACCCAAAUAUCUAGAUAUUUUCUCUUCACCGCAUUUUGUAAAUAAAGAGAUGUGUAUGCCUCCCUGAA
rnacentral:sRNA from 1 species